AGCAGCAGCGAGAACGACGUACCAGCAACGGAAUCAUCAUCAAAGUGUACGAGGAAGCACCGCCGAGACCCGGUGCUAAUCGUCCGAUUCAGCGCCGGAGUCGACUCGGUGCACCGUCGUCGCUCGCUUACGACCGUAGGAAGAUGCUGCUUGCCUACUCUCAGCAGCUGCGACAGUGCCACGAGCAGCCAACCCAAGGCUGCUGCAAGAUCGUACACAGGCCGAGUUGGGGCCAAUGGAAGGCAGCCUUUCUGCGGAAUCAUGGUGGUAUGAAGAAGAGGAAUUCUUUGCGACGGCGAACUCGGGCGUGGAUUCGUCGAAUUAUGACCAGAAUCAGAAGGCGACUAAGGGAGUACAGCGCUAUCGUGCCUGCUGCCGAACACUCUCCUUCAUGUUCUUGCCGAGGAAUGUGGAGGUGCCUACUGGGAAGGCUUUCGUGGUUGUGGAGGCGUCGCAAUGGUGAUAGGCGGUUCUCCGGUUGCCGCAAGGCGCUGAGUUGUUCCUAGUUCUCGUCAUGCAUGCAUGAAUGUUUGGGAGUAAUAAAGAAAGCUUCUCCUUCUUCAAUAAUGCUUCCUUAUAAUCGAUCGAUCGUCUGUGUCAGUGCCUCAGAAUGAUGUCCCGUUCGUUAUCAUCAACGUCACAUAAACUUACAUA